UACGAAAGGGGCUAGCGUUGUUCGGAAUUACUGGGCGUAAAGCGCGCGUAGGCGGCCUUGUAAGAUGGGGGUGAAAUCCCCGGGCUCAACCCGGGAACUGCCUUCAUGACUGCAAAGCUUGAGGAUGCGAGAGGUGACUGGAAUUCCGAGUGUAGAGGUGAAAUUCGUAGAUAUUCGGAAGAACACCAGUGGCGAAGGCGAUUCACUGGCGCAUUUCUGACGCUGAGGCGCGAAAGCGUGGGGAGCAAACAGG
rnacentral:rRNA from 1 species